AAAUAUGCAAUCUCUGGAGGCAUAAAUACAGGACUUUUAUUUUGACAUUUCUCCACACUGGCGGCGUAAAGAUACUCGAUAUUAGGUGUUUUUUAUUCAUCAUGGGGGCAUGGAAAACUUUAAUGCAACAUAUUUUAUUUUAAAUGUAGGUUCGACUCAUAGCUUAAUGUUCUAAAUACCUUUAUUUUGAAAACCGGAAAAGAAUACGCUGUUUGUCCGCCUUUACCGUAAUGCUGAGAAUACGUGCACAGUUGAAAUUUACGUGCGGCUGGUUUGCAUUGAGCGCAGUAACGUAAACAUGUGACUGAAGCUGUUAUGAUGUAUACAUGUGUGAAAGACCACAUCCUGACCAAAAUGCAGUCAGCGUAACUUGUGACACCUGGACAUCGUACUCGACAGUGACUUCUCACUACAUCGACAACGAGUGGUGCCUCGUGUCUCAUGUGCUACAGACCACGAGGUUCUCACGAGCAGGUCUAAAACCCCCCCCCCACUUCUCGCCCUCUGGUAGGCCAAAUCAAAACAUUACAAAAGCAAAGUUUUGUAUUUUAUAUGAGCAUUUUCUUCUCAUUUUACUGUGUGAGAUUGUAUAUUUGUAUGCAUGCCAUGUUUACACUCAUACUGUGAUAACAAAAAUAAAUUGUGAAAUGUCUUUAAGAUAUGAUGUGCAUCAGGACACAUUGUGUGCAGCAUCAGCGCUGGAUCCUCGCUGUAAGGCCCUACCAUCCCUGUCUGCUAAAGAGCGAGGUGACACCUUCUCCAGCCUGCAGACCGACGCUGCCACUGCUGCACGUGAUGAAACUGUUCAAUUUAAUAAUAAUGUUUUCAUUGAGAAUUAAAAGUCUCUAUUGGAUUAUAAGGAAUAUAUCAUUUAAAAGAGUUCAUUAAUGAUUUUCAAUCUAUUUAUUUAUUUCUGGGUUUUUUUCCCCGUCUUAUUCAACAGCAAAAUACUGAUGGUAAUGAUGCUGAUGAAGGAGCUGAGGAGAUGGGGGGGAAGCAACUUCACCCAAGAAGCCCAAGAAAUCCAGCACCUUGUCUCUCCUUGGGGCAGUUUACUCACCAACAGUAAAGGAACAUGGACCGAAAACUCCAGCAAUGAGGGCUGAAGAUGAAAUCAGAAGACACAGGGUGGAAAAUCCUGCUGGGCUGAAUGAAAGUCCUCUGAGCUGGUGGAGGUCAAAUGAAAGGGAGCAUCCACUGUUGGCUCGCCUUGCGAAGAUAUACCUUUGUGUCCCAGGGACCAGUGUUGCGUCAGAGCGGGUGUUUUCAACUGCGGGUGAUACUGUCACUGCAAAAAGGAGCUGCCUAACCCCAAAUCAUAUCAAUGAGUGAGAACAAAGUCACAACAACAGGACUUCAGACAGUUUAUGUUUACUUUUAGUUUCGUUACCAUUAUUAUUAUUGUUGCACUUUAAUAAACAAUGCCUUAAUGCAGUUUGCAGUGAUGAAAUGUUGUAGUUCAAGUCCACUUUCACACUUGAGCUGCAAUGGGCUGAGCAAUGUCUGGUGUGGUGGGGCCAGGUGUGAUGGGG
rnacentral:lncRNA from 15 species